rnacentral:rRNA from 1 species
AUUGAACGCUGGCGGCAGGCCUAACACAUGCAAGUCGAACGAGUGGCGGACGGGUGAGUAAUGUCUGGGAAACUGCCUGAUGGAGGGGGAUAAAUACUGGAAACGGUAGCUAAUACCGCAUACCCUCGGAUGUGCCCAGAUGGGAUUAGCUAGUAGGUGGGGUAAAGGCUCACAUGGGCGACGAUCCCUAGCUGGUCUGAGAGGAUGACGAGCCACACUGGAACUGAGACACGGUCCAGACCCCUCCGGAAGGCAGCAGGGGGGAAUAUUGCACAAUGGGCGCAAGCCGGAGGCAGCCAUGCCGCGUGUAUAAAGCAGGCCUUCGGGUUGUAAAGUCCUUUCAGCGGGGAGGCGUUACCCGCAGAAGAAGCACCGGCUAACUCCGUGCCAGCAGCCGCGGUAAUAC